GGGCUCACUUAGCACACAUACUAAAACUGAAAUGACACAGACCUAGUUAACAUAGCCCCUGCUCAAGGAUGUCAUACAUAUUUGGGGAAUGUUCUAUAUUUUU
ensembl:snRNA U6 U6 spliceosomal RNA